rnacentral:misc_RNA from 1 species
UGCUGUUAAUAGCAGCAGCAUCACAAAAUUGGAUAUUAUUCAGAGUAAAGGUUACAGCCCACACUAUCUUUCACUAUGUAUAAUGAGUUAUAUUUAUCUUGAAUAAGCGUAUGUGUAUAAAACAGGAUGUUGAACGAGGAUUUGAUUUCAGGAAACUUAGCUUGACAUGUCAAUCCCGACAUGCAUAAAUAAAUACAUAAAUAGUUUCCUAAGGCAUUCCUUGUCAUUCCGCAGGCAGUAUUCAAAAGCGACGGUUGGUAACUUUUUUUUGUCUUUCUAUGUAGAGAAACGUUUUCAGUAAAGUCUAGAAUGUCCGACCAUAUCUGUAUUUCUAUGCUGAAACUCUCAGCAACUGCUCAGUCGAUGAAAUCUGAUGUUUGUAUUUCUAAAAUGUCUAUGGAACUUUAUAAGUGUUUUUCUUCAUAUAUUUCAAGUGGAAACGUUGACCUAACAAUUGACUGUGGGAUUACACCGGAUGUAGGACUUGCCUGCACUGUCUGUGACAUACAGUUGCAAAUCAACGGGAGAUGUUCCCAAGAAUGGUCUGUGUAACAGCUGCUGUCAUCCUUCUCUUUACCGGGAUGCCUGGGUGUAAAGCAGGCGCAUCUCAGAUGACAGACAACUGGGGUUCAGGCUGGAUGCUUCUCAAUUCCACCUACUACUACCUGUCCCUGGAAGCAGCGAACUGGUCUUCAGCCCUGACGAGCUGUAAAGAAAAAGGCGCCGAUCUGCUGUCUUUAGAAUCAUGGACAGAACAAUCACAGAAACUGAGUAAGAUGAAAUUUGCUGCCUAUGAAAGAAUCUGGUGGAUAGGACUUCAAAACAGCUCAAGUGUAAGCAAGUGGGUGUCACUCUAUGAUAACUCAUCUUUCUCAGGAGAAAUCAUACUGUGGAACGAAGGCGAGCCCAACAACGAACAGGGUCAAGAGGAUUGCGUGGAAAUGUAUCCUAUGGGUGAACUGAAUGAUGUUCCCUGCGAACCACAGCAAUCCUACAUUUGUAAGAAAUAUUUAAAGCUCGUCAACGGCUCUAGAAACAGUUGUGAUAAUAACUGGAUCCUGAUCUUGGAUUCCUGCUACUACCUUUCUACUACCCCGGCUGUGCAGUGGACAGACGCACAGAGAAAUUGUAAUGAACUCGGCGCCAACUUGCUGACCUUGGAGUCUUUAGAUGAGGUGUUGCAGAUCAGGAGAAAGACAUGGCGCUUUACUUCCAUCGACCGAUGGUGGGUGGGGUUACGGAGGGUACCAUCUAGUGGCAAGUGGCAGUGGAUCAAAAAGCCUCCGAUUUUAUCCCCUGCAGUAACCCAGUGGAAGAAGGACGUGCUCAAUACAGAGGACUGUGUGGUGAUGGACUCUGACGGAUUUCUGAGUGACAUGUCAUGUAACUCCUCUCGAUACUUCAUAUGUGUGAAAUCAAUGGAAGACGCAGACAACUGUGACUCUGGCUGGAUCAAGAUAUUCUCGAUGUGUUACAAGUUGUCGAAUAAGGCUUUAUCGUGGUCCGGUGCUCAGGAGAGUUGCAAAACCGAGGGAGGAAAACUGUUAGUUGUGAGAACUUUAAUUGAACUGGUAAAAAUACUGGAAAAUAUCAAUCUUACCAGCUCGCCAUGGUGGGUAGGACUGAAAAGGGCAUCUCCAAGUAAUUUUGACCUGAAGCAGGACGAUGGUUCAAAGGAGUGUGGAAUGAUCGCCUCUGAUAACUUUCUGGCUUUCGAGGACUGCAAAGCGUUACACUCCUAUAUCUGCCAAAAAAAUCAUAGUAAGUGGGAAACACUUUUAACAAUUCUCACGAAUUGUAAAGAUAAUGAAAUUAGAAUAGAGAGAGUUGAGUGAAAUUAUAAUAGAGUUGAUAAAUUUCGACAUUUUUGCUUGUGUUUAUGACUUUUAAGGAGCAUAACUAAUUAAACAUAAUUUUCAAGUUAAAAAGUUUGCGAGAAUCAUAAUUGCCGAUGUUUUUGAUAUCGAUGUAUUGUCAUGAUGUUCAUGUCUAAAAGUGCACGUUGAUACAUGGAUAUCAACUUCAGUUUAAGAUAAAAGUGUUAUAGGUUGUGAGACCAACACUAAGACACUAAUUUUUUUUUACCCAUUCUAGUUUUAUUCAUAGCUAUUAUGUUCACAUCAUAAAAGAAACUUUCUGUUGUCACACCUGUGGAAAAAUGUACGAAAUCCUCUUUUGUAUAUGGUGUGCAGGAAAAUGUUGCAUUAAGCGUAAACACUAUUUUUUUACACACUAAACUAUCCCGAGAGAACAAUAGAUACAAUCUGCCCACCCACACACACACUCAUGGGUGAGUAAUCCCCAGAUAGCAUGGAAACAUUUUAAAAACGUUUAAAAAAGCGCUUACAUGGUUGUAAUAAGGUUUAAGUUUUAGAUGAAACAUUUUAGAAACCAUUUAAAAACAUUUACCAAAAAAAAUUUAAUUAUUAGAAAAUAAACCAUUUAAAACAAAAAAGUUAAAUAAAUGCUUUUAUAAACAUUUAAAAGUUAACGUCUAUCACUGCGCGUCAUAAGCCCGCAGAUGACGUAAUUUUUUUUAAAACAUUUCAAAGUUUUAUUGGCUACCUUCGCGGCGUAGAUACUGACAAUCCUCACAAAAAAGCAUUUUUUAAAGACUUUGUUAUAUUUGUCUUAUCGCUAGGUUUGAUAUUUUUAAAUCAUUACAGUUUAUAAAACAUCUAUGCUACGUAACUAUAAAUAUUUGCUAUUCUUGUGGAUGUGUGUACUCCCAUGAUUCCACGCGGCGUGAAAUUUUCUCUGCUGCUUACAACACGUGACUGUGCAAAAGCAAGGUUGUAAUCUUUUGUUUUUGUUUACCACACACGUACUGCAGGUUCUUAUAAAACACUGUAUACAGUGUUCUAGUACAACACAGAUUUAAUGUAUGCUUAUCAGGUGUGAUUUGUCAAACAAAGUUUUCUUUUUGAAUAGUGCGCUCGUAUGUAAUCUAAUACCAGGGCUUCUGCUAAAUUCUUUGGGGUCCCAGGGAACCCUUCUUCAGAUUUUUAAGGGGUCCCUGUUCUUCGCCCAAAUUUGAAGGGGACCCCAUUGACGAAAAUUGAAGGGGUCCUCCGAACUUUUAAUGCGUACUGUACGCAAUGUUUUGCGUAAGCAGAAGCCCUGUAAUACGUUAAGGCAACUGAUAGUUCAAAUCAUGUCGUCCUCCUGGACGAAGCAGAGAAAGUGAAUAAAAUUGUAGAAGCAGAGUUGGCGGAAUUGAAAGAAGGAAGACAGAUCUAUUUAAUACACACCGAUACAAACAAUGGAGUGUGAGUAUGCGCUUUACAAAUUUUGCAUUUAUUAUUAUUGUUAUUAAAUCCCGUCUCCUUAUGACGUAUAUUUGUUUGUGUUUCAUUUUCUUAAUAUUUUCUUCAUGGAUGAUAGUUUUUUUUAAUUUUAUUUCUAUGGCAUCAUAACAUUGCAUACCAGAGAAGUAAAUUGCAGUCAGUACAAUCAUGUCAGCUGAACAGAUUGCUUACUAUGUUUCCUUCGUUCACAAUAAUUCCUUGAGUAUACAAGUUUGACAUAACCAUAUGCAGUCAUAAACUCUGGACUAAAUAUGACAGAUAAAGUCAAAAGUUUAACCCACUCCCAUGAAGACAAAAAGUUAGCCUUUCUGAGAAGGGUUCAUGAAUGACAAUUUAUUGUUUUCAGCACACAAUUAAAGAUGGAAGCAGACUGGCCACCAAGUGAAUGCACUAACCACCGGAAUAUUGGCAUCAUCACGUGAGCACCCCAAUGGCCAACAUAUUGAUGCUCUGCAAAGAGUACAAAAGGAGACAGACCUCAAACUGCAGCAAUAGAAGGCGGUAUCCAGGGAGUGUCUUACAAAGCAUUAGUCCAGCACAUUCUCAAACAAGGGACAGCAUUAAAAUUGAUGUUUCAGGAAUCAAAAGAUAUGCUGAAUCAUUUGACUGCUCUGAUAAGCAAAGACAAACCUACUCCAGCACUCUGGCAGGAGUUGUUAGAGCUGCAAGGAUGCCUCAAGGAUGACUCAUGAAUUACUUGUAUGUGAAGCAGAUUUCAUUGUUAAAGUCUUUAUUAAAAUGAUAAUUUGAAAUAAUUUAUGAGAAUUUUUACACCAUAGCUUUGCGUUUUUGAAAACCGUAUGUUUUUUGUAGGGAAUACAUUUGAGCUCUUUCUGUUAGCACGUCAGGCGAUUUCUUUGAAAAUGUUUUAUAAGAAAUGAACAUUCGUAUCUUCAACAAUAGAUGGAGUGGAAUUGCCUUGCUAAUUCCAGUCUUUUGAUUUCAUGUGUCAAAAUGUGUUCUGGAGGAGGCGCAAUUAUUUAUUUGGGCCUGAAGAUUUGAUGUUUUGGUCUUCUUGACACAUUGUGCAACGCUUCGCUUGGCGGCGUUAUAAAUCUCUCUGUGGAUGGUGAGUCCAGUCUUCCGCCAAACACACUCAGCUCGCUGGCGAGUUCACUUCAGGUCGCGGAGGUCAACACGGACCUGUGAAUACCAAGGUGACCAUGUGGACUGGCGCAUCAGACGUCGAGACACUGUGGCAUGGCCAUCAACAACUCUACGCAAAACACAGUCAAGUGGCUAGGCAGAGGGUGACUGAAGUAGCGCCAUCUGUAGUUGUGUUUGGAAUGCAACUAUAUCAGCACUGCGUAACGGGCGAGUGAGUCUAAAACCUAGCGCCAUUGAUGGGCAUCUGCGAUCAAGUUCAAUCAACACACAGUAUCACAAACCUGCUGUUAUUUUUUUUUUCGCCUGGAAGGAGAUAGGAAAAGUAGUGAGUUUCUCCUUGACGGGAGCGGGGAGAGCAGUCUCCUUGGUGUUCUCAGUGCGUCCGGAGAGGACGUUUUGUUUGUAACAAGUCCUGAACCGACUUGGUGUUUUAGUCCUGACUGGACUGGGUACAAAUCCUGACCAGAUUUGUAUAGAGGAAUUGGUGUAACAUUAAACCUGUUGAGCUUAG